ACGAACGCUGGCGGCGUGCUUAACCCAUGCAAGUCGAACGGAAAGGCCCUGCUUUUGUGGGGUGCUCGAGUGGCGAACGGGUGAGUAACACGUGAGUAACCUGCCCUUGACUUUGGGAUAACUUCAGGAAACUGGGGCUAAUACCGGAUAGGAGCUCCUGCUGCAUGGUGGGGGUUGGAAAGUUUCGGCGGUUGGGGAUGGACUCGCGGCUUAUCAGCUUGUUGGUGGGGUAGCGGCUUACCAAGGCUUUGACGGGUAGCCGGCCUGAGAGGGUGACCGGCCACAUUGGGACUGAGAUACGGCCCAGACUCCUACGGGAGGCAGCAGUGGGGAAUAUUGCACAAUGGGCGGAAGCCUGAUGCAGCAACGCCGCGUGCGGGAUGACGGCCUUCGGGUUGUAAACCGCUUUCGCCUGUGACGAAGCGUGAGUGACGGUAAUGGGUAAAGAAGCACCGGCUAACUACGUG
rnacentral:rRNA from 1 species